rnacentral:rRNA from 1 species
AGCGAACGCUGGCGGCAGGCCUAACACAUGCAAGUCGAACGAACCUUUCGGGGUUAGUGGCGGACGGGUGAGUAACACGUGGGAACGUGCCUUUAGGUUCGGAAUAACUCAGGGAAACUUGUGCUAAUACCGAAUGUGCCCUUCGGGGGAAAGAUUAAUCGCCUUUAGAGCGGCCCGCGUCUGAUUAGCUAGUUGGUUGAGGUAAUGGCUCACCAAGGCGACGAUCAGUAGCUGGUCUGAGAGGAUGAUCAGCCACAUUGGGACUGAGACACGGCCCAAACUCCUACGGGAAGCAGCAGUGGGGAAUCUUGCGCAAUGGGCGAAAGCCUGACGCAGCCAUGCCGCGUGAAUGAUGAAGGUCUUAGGAUUGUAAAAUUCUUUCAACGGGGACGAUAAUGACGGUACCCGGAGAAGAAGCCCCGGCUAACUUCGUG